GUGUCAGCUGCCGCGGUAAUACGUAGGGGGCAAGCGUUAUCCGGAAUUACUGGGUGUAAAGGGUGAGUAGGCGGCAUGGUAAGUUAGAUGUGAAAGCCCGGGGCUCAACUCCGGGAUUGCAUUUAAAACUACUAAGCUAGAGUACAGGAGAGGUAAGCGGAAUUCCUAGUGUAGCGGUGAAAUGCGUAGAUAUUAGGAAGCACACCGGUGGAGAAGGCGGCUGACUGGACUGAAACUGACGCUGAGGCACGAAAGCGUGGGGAGCAAACAGGAUUAGAUACCCUGGUAGUCCACGCUGUAAACGAUGAGUGCUAGGUGUUGGGGGGGAACCCUCAGUGCCGCAGCUAACGCAAUAAGCACUCCACCUGGGGAGUACGGCCGCAAGGUUGAAACUUAAAGGAAUUGACGG
rnacentral:rRNA from 1 species